ACAACAUGAGAGUUGGCUUGAGCAAGAGAUAAACUAGGACCAAAUAGUUAAUGAAUCUAGGACUAUACAGCACAACUUAAAAAAGGGUUAGGAUGGUGAAUUCUAAUUCAAAUAGAAAUAGUUCCACCAAACUAUGUGAGGAUCCCUCCAGGCCACACAUUGUUAUCAUUGUUUUAUUACACUUUAAUUUGUUAAAUAUUUCCCAUUACAUUUUAAUCUGGUUUGGGCCCUACUUGGGAUUUGUGGCUGAUUUCUGACACCUGUGCUUUUGAAUACAGAAUGUGGAACCUGAAGGGAACCUAGAGACCAUAUAAUCCAAUCCUCUCCUUUUACGUUUGAGAAGACUGAGUUCCAGAGAAGAAAUGAGCUUGCUUAAGGUCACUUAGUGAGUCAGUAUCUGGAAAGCAUGUCUCCCUCCAGCAAUAUUUCGCCAUCCUUGAAAAAGAAUAAUUGGAAAAGCAUUCCUCUCAGAGAAGGCAUGGAUCCACAGUGGAUUGAUUACAGAUGUAGGAGUGGAAAGCACCAGAGGAAAAGAGCUUAAUGUCUAAGCUUACAGGGUUCUUUGUCAAAAAGGAAUGGCUUUCUCUAGGAGGAAGAAAGGCAUAGAAUACAGGGAAAUUCAAGGUGAAGAAACUGAAGCCCAAAGAAGUUAAGAGAUUUGCUUGGAAUCAUACAGAUGGUAAAGGGAGUGAACUGUCAGAGGCAGAGAAACAACAAAUAUAAAUUCAUUCAUCCAGUAAUUUGUGGGCUCUGCCACUUACUAGCUCUGAAACCCUGGGCAUGUGAUUGCCUUCUUUGAGCAUCAGUUUCUCCUUGUGAAAAAUGAGACUUUUGGGGAACAUCAAAUAACAUACUAAACAUGAAAAAAGCUUUGUAAGAGUAGGUAAUUGUUCAUCAUUUUUCUGAUAUAUUAUUCUGCUCUGAAGGUGAUUCUGGAUUCUUUAAGAUUAUGUUGAUAAAGUAUUAUCAAGUCGGAGGACCCUUUUU